GUUCUGGAACGAUCAGGAGCUCCCAAAGGAGCCAAACCCUAGCUCAAGCUUAUAUGAUCAAAUUGAAGGGUAAAUCGAAGCUCAAAUUCAUGAAUAAACACGGAUUAAUGAUCACCAUCACAAGAGGAUCAAAAGGAAUCACAUUAGCAUGGACUCAAGAACGGAAGGUUAACGGGUCAAGCGGAGGCGAGGAAUCAAGCAUGAACACUAACGCUUAAGGUUGUACGAGUCACGGAGGAUCUCUGAGGAGUGGAGAUCGAAGACCGAGUCACAAGUUAGAUUGUACGGGACUGUUUGAAUAUCUAAUUUAGUAAACAUAGUUUAUGUUUCUAUUUCGUAAAUGAGUUCGAUUGAUGUAUUCAUUAUAAAUGUGUCACCUUAAAAUGAACUUCAAGUAAGUUAAGACGUUCAUAAUGAAA